ACGGCCAUGCCAUGCUGAAUAUACCGGUUCUCGUUAGAUCACCGAAGUCAAGCAUCAUUGGGCGCGGUCAGUACUUGGGUGGGUGACCACCUGAGAACACCGCGUGUCGUU